AGUGAACGCUGGCGGUAGGCCUAACACAUGCAAGUCGAACGGCAGCACAGUAAGAGCUUGCUCUUACGGGUGGCGAGUGGCGGACGAGUGAGGAAUACAUCGGAAUCUACUUUUUCGUGGGGGAUAACGUAGGGAAACUUACGCUAAUACCGCAUACGACCUACGGGUGAAAGCAGGGGAUCUUCGGACCUUGCGCGAUUGAAUGAGCCGAUGUCGGAUUAGCUAGUUGGCGGGGUAAAGGCCCACCAAGGCGACGAUCCGUAGCUGGUCUGAGAGGAUGAUCAGCCACACUGGAACUGAGACACGGUCCAGACUCCUACGGGAGGCAGCAGUGGGGAAUACUGGACAAUGGGCGCAAGCCUGAUCCAGCCAUACCGCGUGGGUGAAGAAGGCCUUCGGGUUGUAAAGCCCUUUUGUUGGGAAAGAAAAGCAGCAGGUUAAUACCCCGCUGUUCUGACGGUACCCAAAGAAUAAGCACCGGCUAACUUCGUG
rnacentral:rRNA from 1 species